UCCGCGGGGCCUGGGGCUCGCCCGGGGCUUCCGCGGGCUGGUUUGCUUGGAAACAGGUAGCUUUUGUGCUGAAUACACGUGAAUAAUAAUGGUCACGCUCGAAAGCGAUGCCGUCUCUGCGUCCUGGCAAAGAGGGAUCCUGCAAUAUCUUUUUAAAGUGCGGUUUGCCACCUGGAUGCAAAUAAAAUCUUCAUUAGUAAGAGUUACACGCUUCUUGAAGCACUUCUAACAACGUGGUGAAGCUCUCCUCCCACCUGCUGCCUUGAAAUGUACUGCCUACAAAUGAUCAGCCCUUGGGUUUCUCUGUAAAGGGACAUCUCUGACUGUGGGCUUAAUUUUCUGUGGUAGAAUGCUCUUUUUAGCCUCAGUAUUUAGCAGGUUAGAUGGAUAAUAGUGUAUCUGCAGUUAUCUAAGGGCAAGGGGUUUAAAAAAAUAUUGGUUGGAUUAUUUAAGUCCUCAAGGAGUCAAGACACGCUCCUGGACAUUACCUGGAGCUCACACAACUUUUGAAGACACUGAUCUGUAACUGCUUUCACACCUCUAUGAUAUUCACUGUGGAGUGAAUCCUUUUUUAAACGAUCUUUUCUAAGAAACAAAAUGUUUUAAUGACAUUGAUGUCAUCUUAUUUUCCAAAUCGUCUGGAUCAGAGCCCUUGGUGUGGAAGGGAAGGGGUACUAGGACUGCUCUGUAUAAUUGUCUUGCCUUUUGCCCUGACUUGGUGAUGGGUUUGUCUAGAGACUGGAGGCUCAUUCAACAGCUGCAGUGCAGACCUGGGGCAGAAAUGUGGGAAUUGUGUUGAGAGGAGGAGAGUGAAUGCUUGGCAAGGUCUGUGCUUCCCUUGUCACCUGUAUCGUUCUAUGCCAAACUGGGUCUGAAAUUUAUAAUGCUGUUUAGCUUUGUGAUAUGAACUGUCAACUGGUAAUGAGUGAAUUUGUAGUUGGGUUUUUUUUUGGUGGACCCACAGGUAUAAUUUGCAGGGAGAGGCUGAUGAGGCUCUGGGGAAGGUAGGAGAUCCAGCUCUGUCUUAGGAGAGCCAGUAGUAUUUUUUGAAGAUAUACAAUACAGAUGCUAUCUAGGCACAUUGCCUAAGGCUGCUUUCAUUUUCCAAAUGGAGCUACGUUUGUAGCUAAGAUCAGAAUUUGUUAGGAUUAUCAAUUCCUGGUGAAACUUUCAGUUAAUACACAAAAUAAGGACUGUUAUUUAUGACAUCUGAGUCUUUGGAGACUGGAAACAAGCACUUUAAAGUUUAGACUGUUGCUGGUUCCAGUGAACCUGAAUGCAACAGCCUCAUCAAUUCAGUUGGGGCAAGGUGAUGUUUUAUGGAUUGAUACAUUAUAUCUGUUUACAGUCUAAAUAACAGAGCAUUUCCCAAAUAUUCUGAGUGCUGUUAUUUCUGUCUGUCUUCACUUUGAAAACUCAGGUCUCUUAUUGAGGAGACUGUGUAGAAAAACCAUAAAAAUACAUAAAUUCACUGUAUUUUGUGAAUAAUAUGUACUUUGAGAGAAGAGCCCAGUUACCCAAUUAGUAUAACAGAACAUUUAAGGAUUAUUUUGUCACUCUUUUUUUUUUUAAAUUAUGAAUAUAUUUUGCAUUUCCAUCAGGCUUAUUUUGAAAAUUCACCAGUUCUAUUUAUCUGACCUUACACUAUUUCAAAAAUAAAACAGUGCUUUUCAGGGGAAACAUUUUGUUUAGUUGUUGAUUUGUUUGUGGUGGGGUUUUAAUUUUUUUUCUUUUUUUUGUUUCCUGCAAGAAUCUUUUUUUGUGCUGUGGGUGUGUGAAAUUUUGUGAGCCUAAGUCUAUCCAGACUCUGUAAAACCCUUCAGGACUAGGUGCUGGAGAAGUUAAGAGGUUUAGUAAUGGGAACAGUAAGUUAACAACUAUAAAAUAUUUGUUGAGGUGACAGUUUUCCAUUUAUGUAAUACAUACAUAUAUAUAUAUAUAUAUACACACAUACAUAUAUAUAUGCAGUUUAUUUUACAGAAGAAACUUUAGGAAAUCACACUAGAUCCACUACUUGUUAGUUUUCUGGCUCUUCCAUUCAGUCCAGGGCAAUUGGCAGACUUGGCCCUUAGACUGAAAUUUCUUGCUACAGCUUGACAUUCCCAUGGUCAGCAAGAAUAUUCAAAUUUCAGUGGUAAAAUCUGUUUACAAGAGACACAGAAACACCUGCAAAUAGUCUAGGAGGGAAGAGUCAAGCCCUCAUAUUCCAAGAUGUGAAGUACCUGCUGUCUACUGCAAGUAAUACUCAUGUGAGUGGAUUUUCCCCGAGGGUAACUCUUACUAUAAAUAGGAUCUCUUGGCUGUAUUGGUCACGCUGCUGGUGACAGGAGAGCUCAGCCCAGGCUUGGCUUGUUAGAGUUAUUAGGAAAAUAAAAUUUCAGGUAAGCAGUGUUCUAGAAUUUUAGAAUCAAAGUAUUUCUGUUGUAAAAAUACAUAAAUGUAUUCACAUGAGCUGUAAGCUGUAUGUGUCUAAAAUGGAGAUACACUUUAAAAUAGUAAAUAAAUGAACACUGGUCCAAUAAGAUGGAAAUAAUCUUACAAAAACUUCCUUAAAUUAAGCAGAAGCAGCCAUGCAUUUCUGCUGUAUAUUAUGUGGGCACACUAAACAUUCCACUGCACAUUUACAUUACUGACUAUUACAGUUAGUGAUGUUUAGCUGCUGUGUCUUUCCUGGCUUUCCAGGGAUCCACUUCAGCCCUCUGGAGAAAAGGAAGCUGGGAAAUCUGAAGAACCAUCUCACCCUGAGGGGCAUUCCAUUGAUGUUUGCAAACUCUAUUUUGCUCUUGUUAAAGCACCUGUUGUGGAGGUACAGCUGUGUGGUAAUUGUUCAAGCUUGACACAACCCCUUCCAGUUUCAAGUCUUACCAGUGGUGUGGAUUAUCUUUGGGCACAUUUUUAUUUCAGGGCUUUGCUUUGGGUAUCUAGGUAUUUUUGAGAACAAGUGCUGUUUUUCAAGCUGGGAAUAGAUAAUUAAAUAAUUUUAAAUGUUCUUUAUGAUGGAGAAAGCCAUUUUUGAUGGAUGUGUGCUUUCUUGGGAUCUUCUGGUAAUAUGUGCUGCUCCUUUAUUGAGAGAAUAGUUUGCCAGGUUCCUGAGAUAGGAAAGGCCUCAGGCUGACUGCAAAGUAGUAUUUCCUGAAAUCUGUCUAGGCAAGCAUUCCCCAGCAGCCCAGACUCUUUCUGUUUUCUGUGGCAGUGACUUUAAAUGUUAUCCUGAGAUUUGUUUCCUCUCACAUAAUUCUUGGCAGUGGCAUUCGUUAAGGGAAUUACAAUAAACCUAGAGUUGUAAAUGGCCUUGAUACAAAGAUGCUUCAUGAGCCAGUUCUUCUGCAGGGCUAUUGUUCUUGCACAGUAAAAAUGAUACGUGCUUUCUUGUGAGGGCAUAAUUGCUUCUUGAAAGAGGCUAAUUUCUUGAAAUAAAGUGCAAAGAGACUCAGAGGCAAUUAUUAAUGUGUAGCCAGAGACUACUACAGCUUUUUUAAGUGGAGGCUGCAGUAAAGUGAAGGAGGAACAUGAAAGUUGUCUUUACAUUGGUAUUUUCAGUCAAAAGUUUUACGCACAGAACUUUUUUCUCAGGAGCAGGUAGCUUUGUGUACAGCUUGGCUGAGCCCAGGAAAGCAGAUCACUUGCCAAAUUGUGUCAGUUCUUGGGAGCAACGCAGCCAGCAAAUUCCUGAUCCCAACAGUUCUGCACAAGGCUUUUAAAAGCUGUUCUGCAGCAGUGCAUCAGGCCAGCCUGACUAAAACCUGUUAUUAAUGAAACAGCAUGUUUUGAUGUUUGUUCAUUUCAGGCAUUCUGCAAGGUUUUUUGUCAAUAUUUGUAAAACUCCUGGAAUUUCACCACCUCAAAGUCUGUCUUCCAAAAGAGCAUUAGCUGGACUUCAUUUUGUAAUUGGUCCAGCUUUUUUUCUUUUCCAGUUAUCUUAUGAAUUUAAAAAGCUUUUGUGCCAUAAUUUUUAGAUUACUCAAAUUCUUAAACAUCUGAAAUGUUACUGUGCUUUUAUUAAGUGAAUUUCUGCCCUGUAAUGUCCUUUUAAGUUUUGCUUUUUUACAAAAAUCCAUAUUUUCUGUAAUAUCUGGAAGAGUAGGGUUUUGGCUUUUUGGUUGUAUUCAUUAGCUUGAGUGCACCAAGUUUUAAUAAAUGCUUCACUUUGAUUUAU